UACGGGGGGGGCAAGCGUUGUUCGGAAUUACUGGGCGUAAAGGGCGCGUAGGCGGCCUACUAAGUCGGACGUGAAAUCCCUCGGCUCAACCGAGGAACUGCGUCCGAUACUGGUGGGCUUGAAUCCGGGAGAGGGAUGUGGAAUUCCAGGUGUAGCGGUGAAAUUCGUAGAUAUUCGCAAGAACACCAGUGGCGAAGGCGGCUCACUGGCCCGAUACUGACGCUGAGGCACGAAAGCGUGGGGAGCAAACAG
rnacentral:rRNA from 1 species